rnacentral:rRNA from 1 species
CCGUGAAUACGUUCCCGGGUCUUGUACANACCGCCCGUCAACCAUGAAAGUCGCCAAUACCUGACGUCUUAGCUAGCCUAGGCCUAGGUAGGGGAGAUGAUUGGGUU